rnacentral:tRNA from 1 species
GCGAAGUUGGUGCAGUCGGCGGCGCGUAAGUCUCAUAAUCUUAAGGUCGUGAGUUCGAACCUCACACUUCGCA